ACUGACGCGAGAGUUAGUAUGAGACAGUAAGAGCUAUGGAGAGGUGCCUUGACUUAUCUGCUCGUGUCCUCCUUGUCCUCACCUGUGUUGUGGUCAUGGCCGCUUCUCCAGGCGAAGGCGCGACAGUGGCGGCCGUGGAGACUUCAAAAGGACAUCUAUGUAGGACUUUCCCUCAAAAUGAAACCUUCCCAGAGGAUUUCCCCAAUGAGAGCGCCUCCUCCGUGGGUGUGUGUGUCCUGGCGCGGCCCGAAAUGACACAGCCUCACACACACAGCGACAUCUUCUCCUUCAGGUCCAGCGGCGCGUCUGUGGUGGCUGGCAUCAACGCCUCCCUCGCUCUCUGGGUGACGGUCGGCGAGGAGACGCACCACCUCAACCACUCACUCACCGCCGAGGCGUGGAACAUGGUGUGCGUGGGCCUGUCUGCCGCCCAGGAAACGCCCACACCCACGCCCACACCAGAGGAAGAGCACCCACCACCAAAGGCCUACCAGGUAAAGAGUUACUCGUGCCUGUGGUGUCUGUACAUGGUGAGGCGCAGCGGGGGUGGCGUGUGUGCGUGCAGGUGCGGCUGUUGCAGCAGGUGUGUCUCUCCUGCAGGUGUGGACGUCCCUGCAGGGCCUCCUCUGGACGCGCCCCUCAGUGUCAACAUCACAGCAUGGGAGGAGGACGUCACGGUGUGCGUGGGCGCCCCUCGCUACCGGGACGCCUCCUUCACGGGGCUGGUUACAGGCGUCACGCUGCGGGUCGGGGAGGGGGCGCUGACUCCCGACAACUGCUCCCUCCUGCUGGAGGAAAACCUGUUGGCGGCGCCGCUCGCUGAGUCCUGGGCGCCCUACGGCCCUGUCUUCGCCUUAGAGGAGGACCUGCGGGAGCCUUGCGACACGGCCGUGCUCACGCUGGUGGUGCGCGAGGCCUGGGAUCACGACAGGGCGCUGCGCUGGUGCCGCAGCCUGGGCGGACACUUCCCCACCGAGGAGGAGACCGCCGCGGGCCUCGUCACCUUCAACUGCACCUCCGAGGAACACCUGUCAUGGACCAGCGAUGCCAGCGAGAGGGAGGAUAGCCCCGCCGCCACCUGCCCCGUGCUGCUGGCGGGAGGCGGCGUGGGGCGGCGCCCCUGCCUCAGCGAGCUGGAGUGCAGCUUGUGCCAGGUGCCCGCCGGCCUGCGCUACACGCUCUUCGGCGCCCGCUCAGACUUUGACCGCCACUACCGCCUCAGCGCGCGGCACGAUGGCUCCUUCUUCUUCCACGGCGAGACCAGCAACAUUACGCGCGGGGUGGCUGGCUGGACCCUGCAGUCCAGGCUGCACCGCCGCCUCCUGCACCUCAACGGCAGCGUGGGCGUGAUGGGGCGCCACGCCUGGCACUCCCCUAGUCACGCCCACGCCGCGGACACGCUCACCUUCACGGUGUGCAACGCCAUCCAGUUUUCCUCCAACGACGGCGUGUGUGUGCUGCGCAGCGAACGGUGUGACGGGCGCCUCCACGCCGCGGACCUGAGUGACGAGGAGCAGUGCGGCAGCCAGCGUCUCCUCAGCAAGGACGCGCACUACGACCCCAACGUGCGGCCCCGCGCCGGCCAGAAGCUGACCCUGUACUACAUGUUUGAGGCGAUGGUGGUGGACAAGAUGGACACUGAGGAGGGCCUGGCCAGAGUGGAGCUCAACUUGCACCUGCGCUGGGAGGACGACAGACUCAGGUUCGUGGACACCAAGAUGGGCCGCAACACGUUCCCCUGCCACCACGUGUGGACGCCAGCCUUCCUCAUGUUCGCUGGGUACAACUUCGGCCCCGCUGUGCUCCCCGCCGCCAACAGGACCCUCUGCUACCUCUACUGGGAGGAGAUGCCCCGCCAGGACUACCAGCUUGAUGACCCCCUCAUGGGGAUGUACAUGACCCGGGCCAACAUCUCCUACUACAUGAACUUCGAGGCGGCCUACCCUUGCCUGCUGCGAGUGUCAAGGUAUCCCUUCGGCAAGUACAUGUGUAAUCUCACCUUCAGCCUGUUUGGGGACCACGAGAACGUAGACUGGCAGGUGAUCGACCCCCGGCAGAUGAAAGGAGACUCGUCCUUCAUUCAAUACUUCGGUGACCACGACCUCCUUGACUACAGGCUGGAGAAGAUAACACUACACAUUCACCGUAACAUGAUAACUCUGACCUUACACUUAAUUGGUCAGCCAGAUUACCACUUGACCAAUAACUUUCUCCCUAGCUCCCUCAUGUUCAUCAUCUGCUAUUCCUCAUUUUUCUUCCCUAUUGCUGGGUUCAACGAAAGGAUAAUGGUCUCUUUAACGUCCCUCCUCGUUCUUGUGGCUCUGUUCUCCCAAGCGACGAAUAACUACGUGAGAACACCUUACUAUAAGCUGAUAGACGUGUGGUAUGUGUCCCUCAUCAUGCUGUGCUUCGCGGUGGUGAUCGCUAACGGCAUUGUCAACUAUCUAAGGGUACAGAGAGUCAAGUCCCACUCCAGUCUCAUGAAGAAAGUCGUCCUGGCUAAGAAGUUCAAUAUCGGAAGUCAAGUUGCGAUUCUUUGCUUCUUUGGGAUUCUUAUCUUUAUUUUCUCCCUCUUCAGCACAAAUACUUUCUAAUAUGGCGUGUUUUGUGUGUUUGUGUUUGUGUUUGUGUUGUUUGUGGUUCUCAUUGCGUGGUUUGCUUAGGUGUUUUGUCUUUAUACCCGUACAUACACACGCAUUCACUCACGCACGCACGCACACAUUCACGCACAUUCACGCACACUCACGUAAUUGGUUCUGCAAGUUGAUACUAUUAAUUGGAUUUUUUUUUGUUUGUGUGUGUGUGUGUGUGUGUGUGUGUGUGUGUGUGUGUGUGUGUGUGUGUGUGUGUGUGUGUGUGUGUGUGUGUGUGUGUGUGUGUGUGUGUCGCCCGCCGUGUGUCAAGGUGUGGCGAAGGGUGCGAGGAGUUUACCUGGCCACACCUGGAGUGAUUAGGUAAAGAUGCACUAGAA
rnacentral:misc_RNA from 1 species